AGAGGCCUACGGGGGGCAGCAGUGGGGAAUAUCGGGCAAUGGGCGCAAGCCUGACCCAGCAACGCCGCGUGAAGGAAGAAGGCUUUCGGGUUGUAAACUUCUUUUGUCAGGGACGAAGCAAGUGACGGUACCUGACGAAUAAGCCACGGCUAACUACGUGCCAGCAGCCGCGGUAAUACGUAGGUGGCAAGCGUUAUCCGGAUUUAUUGGGUGUAAAGGGCGUGUAGGCGGGAAUGGAAGUCAGAUGUGAAAACUAUGGGCUCAAACCAUAGACUGGAUUUGAAAAUGGAUUUCUUGAGUGUUGG
rnacentral:rRNA from 1 species